rfam:Shewanella putrefaciens 200, complete genome.
CUACUAACAUCAUGAGGUGUUGGGAUGGACUACCAGAAGUCAGCCGAAGCCGUAGUAGUGUUGCUAACCAACAGCAUGAAGGGC